rnacentral:rRNA from 1 species
AAACCAACAGGGAUUGCCUCAGUAACGGCGAGUGAAGCGGCAAAAGCUCAAAUUUGAAAUCUAGUACCUUCGGUGCUCGAGUUGUAAUUUGAAGGUAGUUUUCUGGUGCUGGCCCUUGUCUAUGUUCCUUGGAACAGGACGUCAUAGAGGGUGAGAAUCCCGUCUGAUGGGGUGUCCAGUGCUUUGUAGAUUUCUACCGAAGAGUCGAGUUGUUUGGGAAUGCAGCUCUAAGUGGGUGGUAAAUUCCAUCUAAAGCUAAAUACUGCGAGAGACCGAUAGCGAACAAGUACAGUGAUGGAAAGAUGAAAAGAACUUUGAAAAGAGAGUGAAAAAGUACGUGAAAUUGUUGAAAGGGAAGGGUAUUGGAUCAGACUUGGUGUCUUGUGAUUAUCUUCCCUUCUUGGGUUGUGCACUCGCAUUUCACUGGGCCAGCAUCGGUUCGGAUGGCAAGAUAAUGGCUUGGGAAUGUGGCACUCUUCGGAGUGUGUUAUAGCCCUUGUUGAUGUUGCCUAUCUGGACCGAGGACUGCGGCUUUUGCCUAGGAUGCUGGCGUAAUGAUUCAAUACCGC